rnacentral:tRNA from 1 species
GGAGGGAUGGCAGAGCGGUUGAAUGCGGCAGUCUUGAAAACUGUUGAGCGGGCAGCCCCCGUUCCCGGGGUUCGAAUCCCCGUCCCUCCGCCA